GCUGGGCUCAGUGACGAAUGCCUGCAGUCCCAGCUACUCAGGAGACUAAGGUGGAAGGGCCACUUGAGUCCAGGAGUUCUGGGCUGUAGUGCACUAUGCCAACUGGGUGACUACAGUAAGUUUGGUGUCAAUGAGGUGACCUCCCGGGGAGCAGGGUACCACCAGGUUGCCUAUGGAGAGGUAAACUGGCCCACGUCAGAAACCGUGACUCUUGUGCUGAUUAGUAGUGGGAUCGCACCUGUGAAUAGCCACUGCGUUCCAGCCUGGGCAACAUAUGGGGACCCCUGU
rnacentral:SRP_RNA from 1 species